UACGAAGGGGCUAGCGUUGUUCGGAAUCACUGGGCGUAAAGGGCGCGUAGGCGGCCGCUCAAGGUCGGGGGUGAAAGCCUGUGGCUUAACCACAGAAUUCCUUCGAUACUGUUUGGCUUGAGACCGGAAGAGGUUAGUGGAACUGCGAGUGUAGAGGUGAAAUUCGUAGAUAUUCGCAAGAACACCAGUGGCGAAGGCGGCUGACUGGUCCGGUUCUGACGCUGAGGCGCGAAAGCGUGGGGAGCAAACAGG
rnacentral:rRNA from 1 species